rnacentral:rRNA from 1 species
AUUGAACGCUGGCGGCAUGCCUUACACAUGCAAGUCGAACGGCAGCAUGGGUGCUUGCACCUGAUGGCGAGUGGCGAACGGGUGAGUAAUGCAUCGGAACGUACCCGGAAGUGGGGGAUAACGUAGCGAAAGUUACGCUAAUACCGCAUAUUCUGUGAGCAGGAAAGCGGGGGAUCGCAAGACCUCGCGCUUCCGGAGCGGCCGAUGUCGGAUUAGCUAGUUGGCGGGGUAAAGGCCCACCAAGGCAACGAUCCGUAGCGGGUCUGAGAGGAUGAUCCGCCACACUGGGACUGAGACACGGCCCAGACUCCUACGGGAGGCAGCAGUGGGGAAUUUGGACAAUGGGCGCAAGCCUGAUCCAGCCAUGCCGCGUGAGUGAAGAAGGCCUUCGGUUGUAAGCUCUUUCGGCUGGGAAGAAUACGCAUCUCCUAAUACGGGGUGUGGAUGACGGUACCAGCAUAAGAAGCACCGGCUAACUACGU